rnacentral:tRNA from 1 species
GCUCGGGUGGCGGAAUUGGUAGACGCGCACGUUUGAGGGGCGUGUGACUUAGUCGUGAGGGUUCAAGUCCCUUCUCGAGCACCA